UUAAGCAACUGUUGCACUCCCCACACUGUGGAACAAAGAGUGGAAUAACCUUGUCUCCUAGAAAUAAAACAGUAAUGACAGAGGAUUAAAAAAGGCAAACAAGAAGCAUGCAGGAGUCUGCAAACUCAGCACAGGGUUUGUGUUCAGUGCCGUUUCAUACCUGGUUUGAUCGAAGUUACUCCCUGCCCAACACUCUCCACAACACCAGCUGCUUCAUGCCCAAGAAUGAUUGGAAAAGGCAUAACCAGUCCACCAGUUAUCACAUGGUCAUCAGAGCGACAGAUCCCUGUGGCCACGAUCUGAUUUGGAGGAAAGAUAAGAAUAUUUCAGCAUUUAACUAUGUCACGUCAUAUGCGGACGUGAAAUGAUAUCAUAUAUUUGGAGAAGUCACUUGCUUUGCUCCAAAAUCACAUAUGCACACAAUAAAUCUAUGGGUCAAACA